UCUUCAGUGAUGAUUGAUAUACAGUGACUUUCGUUCUUCUGAGUUUACUGAAGCCAACAUUUCUGUCCUGAGAAGA